rnacentral:rRNA from 1 species
CAGCAGCCACGGUAAUACAGAGGGUGCGAGCGUUAAUCGGAUUUACUGGGCGUAAAGCGUGCGUAGGCGGCUUCUUAAGUCGGAUGUGAAAUCCCUGAGCUUAACUUAGGAAUUGCAUUCGAUACUGGGAAGCUAGAGUAUGGGAGAGGAUGGUAGAAUUCCAGGUGUAGCGGUGAAAUGCGUAGAGAUCUGGAGGAAUACCGAUGGCGAAGGCAGCCAUCUGGCCUAAUACUGACGCUGAGGUACGAAAGCAUGGGGAGCAAACAGGAUUAGAUACCCCAGUAGUCCCUGUCCCUUAUCC